AGUGGACGCUGGCGGUAGGCCUAACACAUGCAAGUCGAACGGCAGCACAGUAAGAGCUUGCUCUUACGGGUGGCGAGUGGCGGACGGGUGAGGAAUACAUCGGAAUCUACUUUUUCGUGGGGGAUAGCGUAGGGAAACUUACGCUAAUACCGCAUACGACCUACGGGUGAAAGCAGGGGAUCUUCGGACCUUGCGCGAUUGAAUGAGCCGAUGUCGGAUUAGCUAGUUGGCGGGGUAAAGGCCCACCAAGGCGACGAUCCGUAGCUGGUCUGAGAGGAUGAUCAGCCACACUGGAACUGAGACACGGUCCAGACUCCUACGGGAGGCAGCAGUGGGGAAUAUGGGACAAUGGGCGCAAGCCUGAUCCAGCCAUACCGCGUGGGUGAAGAAGGCCUUCGGGUUGUAAAGCCCUUUUGUUGGGAAAGAAAAGCAGCAGGUUAAUACCCCGCUGUUCUGACGGUACCCAAAGAAUAAGCACCGGCUAACGUCG
rnacentral:rRNA from 1 species